GGACUGGCCUGAGGUCUCUCUACAAACAAGCGUCUGCUGGAAGAGAGUAGGUGAGUUGUGUUUAGUCUCUUUGCUAAAGAAAUGAGUCAAAGUUACAAAGAUGUUUGGUGUCUAGUACUAUGUCUGUGACCCUAUAUGUCCUGUUGAUGAAGUUAGGUGCUGUUCUGAGCAUUAUUUGUGGCUAUAGAGUGGUGUUUUGGUUGAGCGCGUGGCUCUCUGUAUUACUAUCCUGCGGUCGUUACUAAAGUUGGUAUAAGUAGAGAA